GGGGAAUAUUGGACAAUGGGGGGAACCCUGAUCCAGCCAUGCCGCGUGUGUGAAGAAGGCCUUUUGGUUGUAAAGCACUUUAAGCGAGGAGGAGGCUACCUGGAUUAAUACUCUAGGAUAGUGGACGUUACUCGCAGAAUAAGCACCGGCUAACUCUGUGCCAGCAGCCGCGGUAAUACAGAGGGUGCGAGCGUUAAUCGGAUUUACUGGGCGUAAAGCGUGCGUAGGCGGCUGAUUAAGUCGGAUGUGAAAUCCCUGAGCUUAACUUAGGAAUUGCAUUCGAUACUGGUCAGCUAGAGUAUGGGAGAGGAUGGUAGAAUUCCAGGUGUAGCGGUGAAAUGCGUAGAGAUCUGGAGGAAUACCGAUGGCGAAGGCAGCCAUCUGGCCUAAUACUGACGCUGAGGUACGAAAGCAUGGGGAGCAAAC
rnacentral:rRNA from 1 species